AGGAGGGCAUCUUCCGCCGGGACGCUACUGCUGGGGAGGCAGUCGGAACUCAGCUUCGGAUGCUGCUGGCCUGCUGCCGUCUGCACAUCCGCUGCUGCUGUGAGGAAGAGGAAGCUAGAAACACGUGAAGGCAAGUGGAUUCUGAAUUGGUUAGAUUUAUCAUUCGUUCAGUCUAUAAGAAAUUUUCUGACUUGUGAUAUGGAAAGAACGAGAAUGAUUUAUCAAAAGUAUGGAACCUAAGUGAAAAGGUUAACUUCAAUCUUAGCUUCUGCAAUGCCUCUAUUUACGAAUUGGGAUCAGAUGUCUACUUAACCACUUGCUUAUAUGAUUCACAGAUUACAAAACUGUUGCUGAUACUUUGAUUCAGUUAAGCUGGCAGUGUUUCAACUUUCAAGUUCAAAAUAAUAUCUUAGAACCGUUUUCUGGAAUGAUAAAAAUGGUGUAGCAGUUCACAUGGCAGGUUACUUUAAUUAGCAGUUCACAGUAGCAGUUCAACCCUCAAUUUUUUCUUGCAUUAUCUGUACUCAUCUGUGAAAAUUGCAUUAUCUGUACUCAUCUAAGAACUUGAAGAAUGCGAAUUGAAAGAAUGCAGAAACGAGAGAAGCUUUUAAGUCCUAUUCACGUUAAAUCAGAUUAGUCCUAUCCUAUAAAAUCAGAGAAAAGCUCCAAGGCCUAUUCAUGUAUGUCUCUUCUUUUUGCAGGUAACUGAGUCAUCACAUUUCGGCUUUUACCAAGAUGACAUUUACGGCAACCGCAAUGACAUUGACACUGGCAUGAGUCGAAGCAGCAUGAUGACCAUACUUUUGAGAUCCUUUGGUUCAAAGUGAACUGAUGCAACACUACUUUUGGUUGUAACAUCAUCGAUGCUAACCUUUUGGGUACAUUAUUGUUGGACAAUUUGUACGAUCAAUGCUGCAGAUUCUGUUUAGCAUCUAUAUAUGUGCUUACUACAUGCAAGGAUGUUUGCUGCAAUGUUAUUUGGAUAAUAUAUGUGUGGGGAUGUGUGAUGGAGUGAUACACCAUAUUUAUGUAUGGAUGUGUGCUGGAUUAAGAUCUAAUAUUUUGUGUGCUUUCUUGGUGGCAUGAACUCUCAUGAAUUUUUUUCAUGGUGGCACCAACUCUCAUGGAAAUGAUGGUACUGUUUUCGUGAUGGUAUAAAUGCUCAUGAAAA
rnacentral:lncRNA from 1 species